rnacentral:rRNA from 1 species
ACUUAGUGGCAGACGGGUGAGUAACAUGUGGGUAUCUACCCUUUGGCCUGGAAUAACACGAGGAAACUUGUGCUAAUACCGGAUAAGUCUUUACGGAGAAAGCUUUAUGCACCAUUGGAUGAGCCCGCACUUGAUUAGUUUGUUGGUAGGGUAAUGGCCUACCAAGACUAUGAUCAAUAGCUGAUUUGAGAGGAUGAUCAGCCACAUUGGGACUGAGACACGGCCCAAACUCCUACGGGAGGCAGCAGUGGGGAAUCUUGCACAAUGGAGGAAACUCUGAUGCAGCGAUGCCGCGUGAGUGAAGAAGGCCCUUGGGUUGUAAAGCUCUUUCGUCGGGGAAGAAAAUGACUGUACCCGAAUAAGAAGGUCCGGCUAACUUCGUGCCAGCAGCCGCGGUAAUACGAAGGGACCUAGCGUAGUUCGGAAUUACUGGGCUUAAAGAGUUCGUAGGUGGUUGAAAAAGUUAGUGGUGAAAUCCCAGAGCUUAACUCUGGAACUGCCAUUAAAACUUUUCAGCUAGAGUAUGAUAGAGGAAAGCAGAAUUUCUAGU